rnacentral:lncRNA from 1 species
UAGGAAUUUGCACAUUAGCCUGUUGGUGUAUAUAAGUCCUCAGUUUAGGACACCACAGGAAUACCUUCAAAACUAAGCAUUACUUAAUGGGUGCAAAUGUACUAGAAUAUGUUACAGAGGAAGCUGAACAUUAUUGUCUAUUUCUGUAAGAGUCUGAGUGCUCUAUACUGUCUGUAUGGCAUUGCAACUGUUUGAUUUCCACCAAAUCACUCAAAAUUAGUGUAACUAGAGUAAGGAAAUGGAAACAUCCUCUGAAAGUGCAUUGUGUGCACCUUUAUUAUUUAAAAAAAAUGUUUGCAACUUUUCUUUUUGAAUGCCUGUAUUUAAAUUGUUCUGCGUCAACAGAAUUGCUGCUCAUUCUCUGUCUUUGAAAGGUAUUCAGAUAAUUUUAGUUGUAGUUAUUGUUUGAAUGAUCUGCUUCAAUGGUGCUUGCUGCUUGCUUUGUAAUUCAUUGCUGCAGGUGGCUCCGACUUUAAAUUGCAUCAGUCUUUAUUUGAAGAUAAUCUUUUUGAGCAAUCUGAAACAACAUUCAGCCAUUCCAACUAUGCCCCUCAUAUUUAAAACAACAGAUUCCUGAGCUGCUUUGUCUGUUCUGCGGUGGAAACCUCAUCGUACUUCAGGCUGGCUGUCAUGUGGGAUGGCACUGUGCAGAGUGGUGUCCAUGGAGACGGGGACAGUGUUGUUCGAAGGUGGAUUAUGUUGUUUAGUUUGUAAAAGAAUAGUGAAAAUAUAGUCCUCCAAUACUCAAUUAUGCAUGAGCCUUGCCCUGGGAAAACUACCCUUCAGAUCAGGAUGUCUCCUUGCCACAAGCAGCUUGAAAGGCAAUAUAAUUAUCAAGAGAUGGUCCCUGUUCCAAAACACAGCUUUGCAUGGGCAAGACAAACAGAAGGUAUGAGGAGGUAUAUGAUGUACAAGCGAAGUGAGCACUGCAGCUUUUGCAGCCUUUCUGACUGCCCAGAAUCUCUGCUGCCCCUCUUUUUUCUUCAAAACCUCUGCUUUGCAUUCCAACCCUUUUUUUCCUGUAAGUCCAUUUAUGGACUGAGGGUUGCUACCUGGCUCCUGAUAUUCAGAAAACAGUCAGCAGCUGUAGUUGCUGUAUUUCAAGUUUGA